UCAAUUCCCGCUUACAUUUUACCAGAAAAAAUUAACUAACCCCAAUUUGGGCUUCUGCAUUUCACCAACCUUCCCUCUCUGCUGCCACUGUGCCACUGUGCCAUUGUGGCUCCACUACUUCCGUGCCGCCAUCGCUCUGCUGCUCCUGUGCCCGUCGUCGCUCUGACACACUCGCGCCACUGUCGCUCCGUAAUAAACAGCAAGGCGGUGCCGCUAACUAUUAGAUCUGAGAUCGCGGAUGAAGUGUGCUUCCUCUCUCAAAAGUACGGCAAGGUACUCAAUUCCGAUCCCAAUCCCAGUCUAACCUACUCAAAAUUGGGAAUUAGAAUAAUGUAAUGUGAUGGUGUUGUUGCAAGUUCUGAGGCUGGCGGUGGUGAUAGUAGGGAACAAGAAGGACUCAUAGAGUUAUGUGGGAAUGAAGAGAAAGACAUGUGCUGAAUUAGGGAUUAAGUCCUUCGACAUUGACCUUCCGGAACAAGUUUCCGAAUCCAAUUUGAUUAAGCAAGUUCACCAGCUCAAUGUUAACCCUGAUGUUCACAGUAUAUUGGUUUAACUUCCAUUGCCAAAGCAUAUCAAUGAAGAGAAAAUUCUCAGUGAAAUCAGCCUUGAUGAAGGCCUAGAGAGAAGCUCAAUUGGAGUCUCAGAUUUAGGAUUAUUUUGGGAACUGCCGAGUGACUUUGCUAUCUUCAUGAAGGGAUGUCAAAGAAGGAUCAUUCACAAGGAUAUCAAGGCUUCUAAUAUUCUUUUCUCUGAGAAUUUUGAGCCUCAGAUAUCUGAUUUUGGCCUAGCAAAGUGGUUAUCUGACCAAUGGACUCACCAUACUGUUUGCAAAGUAGAAGGCACAUUCAGGUACCUUCCCCAUAAAUUCUUCAUGCAUGGAAUAGUAGAUGAGAAAACUAAUGUAUAUGCUUAUGGUGUGCUAUUAUUGGAGCUAAUCACUGGAAGACAAGCUUUGGAUAGCUCACAAAAAAGUCUUAUCAUGUGGGCAAUGAUAAAUGAUAUAUUGGCUCACCGCAAGCCUGCAAGGGUUUUUGGAAGUGUUUUCUAUUGCAUGUUACUGGCAGGUUAUGCUACCUUGGCCAUAGGAACUGAGUGGAUUUUUUGCCCCAAGCAAGAACUGAUCUCUCUGGUGCUUUGUAGUUGCGAUGUUCUUCUUUUGCUGUUAACAGGUUUUUUCCUUGCAAUGCUCUUGUUUCAUUCUCGAAAUGAAAUUUUUCUGUUGGGGAAAAAAUGUAGCAAAAUCUCAAAAUUCUUUUACAUAAGAAUAAAUUUUUAAAAAAGUAGCAUUAUAUGACAACCAGGGUAGAGGAGUGGGUAGUGGCCCUUUCUCUUUGAAUAACUCUACCACAUCUGUACCAAUUAACAGUAGAUGUUUAAUUGAAAGAAAGAAUAAAUAAAUCUUAAAUUAAUGAUGGUUAAUUGAACCUCAAACAGACGAUGUCACAGUUAAUCCUAAUUCUCUAGCUGGGUUCUUUGUUCUUAUUUGAUAUGCAACUACUAAAUGUGUUUUGACUAAUUACAACAUAUAAUACAGUAGUUUUUUAUAAUUUGAGUGAAGCCAUUAAGUGGAAUACAAUGAAGUUUCACACUAAGACCUUAAGGGAUUGAAUAAUAUAUAGCAAAAUUCCAGAACUAUGCAGGGCAUGAAGUAUAUACGAGGACAUGUAUUGCAGCACCAUCACAUAUAAAAUGAGGGGAAGAAAAUAUAUAAGACUAUAAGAGGCACCUCCUCAAGUCUAAUGUUGAUUCUUCUUCGCUCCACUCUUUACAUAUUCUCUUAGCUUAAUUCCUAGCAAGUAUAGGACUAGAUUUUUUACAUGCUUUCCUAUCAAAUAUUUAUUUUUUUAGUUGUUCAAUUAUUAUUCGAUACAUACACUACUUUGGAUAAUGGUACGACACUAAAGUUUCAUUGAACAAGUUUUAAUUUAA